rnacentral:lncRNA from 1 species
AUGCCUUACCAAGUUAUCUGAGGAGCCUGGCAGUCCUGGUUCAGCCUGUCCUUGCUGUGAUGUUAUCGUUGUCAGGAUCUGGGAGAUGACCAUCUGGUCAGUUGCCUUCUGGUUAUUUUACGGUAGGAGACAGGAGAGCUCACAGAGCCCAGGGCAAGAUUACAGAGGUCUGCUGUUGUCUUUUGCAGGUGAAUGUGAGCUGUUGCUGCUUUCUGUGGAAUCGGGAAGAGCUUGGCCUUCUGUGUUAAUUGGCUGGGAUGAGAAUCAAAUUGAUAUCAGAUAGGUCUGGAGAGUCAAAGGUAAUGGCUCGUAACUGUAAACACAUUAUUUAGGAGGUAGAGGCAGGAGGAUUGUAGGUUCUAGGUCAUCCUGGGCCACAUGGUGAGUUCCAAGGUAGCCUGGGCUAUAUUAAAGAGUAUAUUAUAGUCGAAGAAAAUAGAAGACAGCAAAUAAAGAGCAGGAACUAGUGAAAACAUAGCUGGCAUUGCAAAGCCCACACCUGUGACCCCAGCCUUUAAAAGACAGAGGCAGGAGAAUUGUUGCAAGUUCAAGGCCAGUCUGGUCUUUAUAGUGAACUCCCGGGACCACACAGCAAGAGACAUUUUGUCAGGAGGAAGAGGAAGAAAUUAACAAAAUACAAAAUAACUGUAUAGUUCCUAAGAUGGACAAAGCUGUUUGUUUUGAUAUCAAAGAUUUUUAAAAGCCUGGUCUGUAAUACUAAGCUAUUCAGGAGGCUAAGACAGGAGGAUCACAAGUUCAAGGCCUGUCCAGUCAACUUAGUGAAAAAUCUAUCUGUGGGAGUGGGAUGGGAUGGGGGAUGGGGUGAAGUGAAGGGUAAGGGGAGACAGCUCAAUACCAAAAACUCUUGCUUAACAUUAGUGUGAGGCCCCACAUUUUAUCUCCAGUAUUCCCAAAGAAGUCAUGUUUGUACAUGUGGGGAUGGGGGUAAUUAUUAUCUUGCCCAGGCUACUCUGGAAUUUAUAGUUUCUGCAGAGUGUAUCCCAUGACA